AAUAAGCAUACAAAAGGAAGGCGGAAAGCUAGAGUUAAUUUACAUUUGCCAAGGAGCGGCACCAGGACGAUAAGGCUCCUGAAAGGGAGAUGAGUUUAUCCCAUAACACUCAUCAGUCCUUAUAAAUAUGAUAGCAGGACCUGAAUGUAAGUCGUGCAGAGCCAGAGCCGUGCGUGUUGGCCAAUUGGGAGGUAGAGACGACGCAGAACAAUGGAGGCCGCUGCCGCCAAGCUCGUCAUCAGGGAGAAGAUCACGGGCGCCACCGCGGCCGUGUUCGCGGGCUCCGUCGAGAUCCCCGAGAAGUUCAUCAGGACCACGGAGGUCCAGGAAGCCGGUGCCGUCGUCAGCGAGGACGAGGUGUUCGAGCUACCGGUGGUAGACAUGGCAAAGCUUCUUGAUCCGGAGCUGUCGGCGUCAGAGACGGCAAAGCUUGGCUCCGCGUGCAGAGACUGGGGUUUCUUUCAGCUAACACACCAUGGGGUAGACGAAGCCGCGAUGCAGCAGAUGAAGGACAGCGCCGCGCAGUUCUUCGGCCUGCCACUGGAGAGCAAGAACUCGGUUGCAGUACGAGAUGGUGGUUUCCAAGGAUUUGGCCACCAUGUGAACGCGUCUUCAGGCGAUAAGAUAGACUGGGCGGAGAACAUGUUCCUCUUCACGGAGCCAGUCCAAGACAGGGACAUGGACUUGUGGCCUGCGAACCCACCCACAUUCAGGCAUGCCCUCGACAGCUACUCCGUCGAGAUCAGCAACCUUGCAAGGCGCCUGCUGGGAUUCAUGGCAACUGAUCUUGGAGUCAGUCAAGAGGCGCUCCAAGGGGCUUUCUUCGGCGGCGGCGACGCAGACGACGACACCGGGAGGCAGCCGAAGCAGCAGUGCACGGCCAUGCACUAUUACCCUCCGUGCCGUCACCCGGAGAAGGUGCUGGGCUCACUGCCACACACCGACACCCUGGGCCUGACCGUGCUGAUGCAGGUCGACGACACGCCGGGCCUGCAGAUCAAGAGGGGCGGCCGGUGGAUCCCCCUGCGGCCGCUGCUGGGCGCCGUUGUCGUCAUCGUCGGCGACAUCCUCGACGUCCUCACCAACGGCACCUACGUCAGCGUCGAGCACAGGGUGGUCCCGGACGCCGAGAGAGGCCGGACCAGCGUGGUGAUGUUCCACGAAGCCUCGGUUCAAGGGUUCGUGACGCCGCUCCCGGAGCUCCUCACCGGAGGCGAGGCACGGCCACGCUAUAGAUCCAUCGGAACACUGGAGUACAGAAAGGGCAGUAGCAGAGCACUGGCGCAAGGGAGACGGUUCGUGGACACCCUCAGAAUGUAAAGAACCGCGCAGCAACUUCGAUUGCUGUCCUGAAUCCUGAUCGAGAUGAACUCAUGGAGUUCGACAGCUACUCCAUCGAGAUCAGCAACCUUGCAAGGCACCUGCUGGGAUUCAUGGCAACUGACCUUGGAGUCAGUUAAGAGGCGCUGCGAGGUAUCUUCUUUGGCGGCGGCGACCAAGACAAUGACGACACCAAGGGGCAGAUCGUAUCCAUGCACCACUACCCUCCGUGCUGGCAUCGGGACAAGGUGGUGGGCAUCACGCCGCACACCGACACCAUGGGCUGCCUGACCUGCAAAUCAAGAGGGGUGGCAGGUGGUUCCCGUGCAUCCGCUGCCGGGUGCCCUGGUCGUCAACGUCGGCGACGUCCUCACCAACGGCGCCUACGCCAGCGUCAAGCACAUGGUGGUCCUCGACGCCGAGAGGAGCCGCACCACCGUGGCGAUGUUCCACGACGCUUGUGUUGGAGGCCUGGUGACGCCGCUACCGGAGCUCCUCAGGGGAUGCGACACACGGCCACGCUAUAGGUACAUCAGGAAACUCGAGUACAGAAAUGGCAGCACUGGAGCACUGGCCCAAAGGAGACGGUAUGUGGACAGCUUUUUUAGGUACAUACGCACACAGCUGCACACAUCACACUCACACCGCACGAA